rnacentral:lncRNA from 1 species
UUUUUUGUUGUUGUUGUUGUUGUUUGCUUGUUUGUUUUUUUACUUGUAGUCAAGGACCAGAAGCUGUCAUUCCUCCAAAUGGACACCUGUUUUGCUUAAAAUUAUUUACCAGUGUGAAUAGAUGCAAGAAGGAUGAUGCAACAUUCUGGUGCAGUGUAUUAGGCAGACUGAGCCACCAUAAGUGCACUAAGAGACUGGGUGUGGAUGUGAAGAAUAAAGCAUAGAGGCUCUUGGAAAUUUUAAUAAAUGGGCAAAGGAAGGAUGGGAGCAAAUGAGUCCAUAAUGAAAGAGAGGUCAUGGGAAGUAUGGAGAGUCCCUGUAGGAGCCUGAAAGUGAAGACCUCUGCCCGAGGCAAACACCUUCCAGAGUAUGUAUCAGCCCAAACAGUUAAAAACUGGCAGAAGUAUAAAAAACUCAAACCACAUCUGAAAAUGGGAAAACGGGAGACAGUUUGACAGCUUUGCUGGACACUCUCCUGCUGAGUACGUCCUGGAGGGACAGCUCCUGAAGGUUUAUCUCUGUUUAUUCCAUCACCCUUCAUGGUAGAGGUACUGGACACCACAGGAAAACUUGGUCAACCUAAGUAGUUGACCAGAGAUCCUACAUCAGCUGAAGGUCCAGGCAGAGAGUCUUGAGACUACCAGGAGUUUCAUGUAGAUCUUUUCCGGUGGGGCUUUCAGGUUUCCAUGGGCCAGGCAGGAGCCCUGCAACCUGGCGGACCACCAAGCCUCACAGAAGUCAGCUUGGGGGUAUCCUCCCUCUGUGCAUCUGGAGCUUUUGCUGCUGCAAACCACUUGGCCAUCCAGUCAUAAGUGAUAUAUCUGGUACACGUCUUCUGUGUAAAGGGAAGCAGCCAGGCUGGAUCAAAGAAAAUGACAUUACCAAUAAGUUUCAAAUAAAAGUUGUAGUGGAAAAAAGAAGAAGAAUGUGCCGUUUCUGUACAACGUUUCUGUUACUGUACAACUGAUAGCAAAUACACUGUGCGAGAGCAUUGCUAAGAUAACGAGAGCAAGGUGACACGUGUGUGAGUCCAUGGAGGGAAGGACAGUCGAGGGUAAUUAAUAAAUCAUAUUUUC